UAAGAGGUCUAGCCUGCCCAGUGACACUAGUUCAACGGCCGCGGUAUCCUGACCGUGCGAAGGUAGCGUAAUCAUUUGUCUUUUAAAUUAAGACUCGUAUGAAAGGCACCACGAGAAUUAAACUGUCUCCUUUUUCUAAUCUAUGAAACUGAUCUCCCCGUGAAGAAGCGGGGAUUUUAAUAUAAGACGAGAAGACCCUAUGGAGCUUCAGACGAAUAACAAUGCCCUCCCCCUUUUCUUACUAAAAUACCAGGACAUUUUAAUUAUUUAGUCUUGGGUUGGGGCGACCAUGGAGUAAAAAUCACCCUCCAUGCUGAACAGGACCUCCUUAAAUAAGAGCAACAGCUCUAUGAAUCAAUAAAUUGACACAUUUGACCCAAUUACUUGAUCAACGAAACAAGUUACCCUAGG
rnacentral:rRNA from 1 species